GAAGGAAGUACAAUAAACUGCAGAAAGAGGAAGAAGGUGGGGAAAAAGGCAGGGUUCGGGAAAGGGAAAAUCAAGAAGUGUGCUGCUAGAACAAUUUAUGUAGCUUGUGACUCCUUCUCCUGAUUUUUGCUGAUUUUUCUUUCACUCUCUUUCUCUAAUCUGUCUUAGAUUGAGCCCAUGAACUGGAGAAUGUGUGUCUUUGGUCUGCUACGUUGAUACAUUCCUGAUAAAACUACAGCUGAAUCCUUGAGAAGAUGGAGGCAUAGGAUGUGGUGUAGAGGAAUACAGCUGGAAGCCCCAAGGCUAUAAACAGCUGAACUAUGAUCAGUUUAAGAAAUUUUGAUCGGGAGUGGGACCAAACUGGAUUUAAGCAUAGCAAAGUCUUA
rnacentral:lncRNA from 1 species